rnacentral:lncRNA from 1 species
GCUUUUGAGGGCUAGUCUUUUUCAAUUUUAAAACUGUCUAGAUAAACAAGGAUUUUUCAGUGUACAUACCUAAAAAAUAAAAGUAGAAUAGAAUGGAUGCUGAACAUUUUUAGGAAUAAUAUGCAUCAAUGGAUACAUGAUCAAUUUUUUAAAGUCAUUUUUCUCAUUAAUAAAUGUAUUUCCAAUAAAAUUUAAUUUCUUGUUGAAAAAUAAUUACUUAUACACGUUGUUAUGAUAAAGUACAAAUUUUAAAUUCUAACAAUACAAAAGAAAAAAUGUUAUCCUUUCAAGCCUUAAUCCAGAAAUUUAAAAAAAUGUCCAUUUAUAGACAUAUAUUUUUUAAAGACAAAUUCCAUAGUAUGAUAUACAAAAGAUGUUUAAGCUUAAAAAUAUAUGAAAACAGAAUAAAAUCUAGUGAGAAAAAUUAAAGUAUUAGUCCAAGGGGAGAAAAGCAUGUAAAACUUUCAACUAUCUUUUAAAGCUUGUGUAUUUUUAAAUAAAUGAUGAUGAGUAUAAAAUCACUGUGCUACAUAGGCUCUAUUAUAUUUAUUUAAAAUUGUGCUGUAGUAAUUUCAUUUUAAGAAAGAAUAUUUGCAGAACAUGGGGAAUUCUGUCUUUUGCUAUCAGGUAAACUUGUAGCUAAAAUUUGUAAAGGUAAACCCAAAGUGGAUGAAGAGUAUAUUGUAUAUAAUUUUUAAAAUGGGGGAUAUUUUGAGCAUAAAAGUUGAAGACCACUGAUAUAAUGCGUAUGGAAUCCUUGGUACACUUUCUGAACCAAUGUUUGUUAGUUGACUUGAAUUAAACUGCUGGACUUUCUGCAAAAGCACAGCAAAGAAAGUUCAGCUGCCGGACCAGAUCCCCUUGCCUCCUCUCCUCCAAUCCUAAUGCUUACUAUUCUGUUACUCCUGUGUAUCGUCUUGACAGUCUGCACCUUGAAAGGAUCAUGUAACACAUGGGCCUCUCAAGGGUUCACUAUGCCCCACGCUUAGGGAUCUGUUGGAACCCAAGGACCUCUUCAAACUCCUCAGGUAUUCACAUGAUGAUAAACAGCCUGGGCUGCCAAGCACUCCUCCAUCCAAGAAGGCUGCAGGCAGUUUCCAUCAUUGAUGAGAAGUAUUGCAAACGGGCUGCAAACAUGAGUCUGGAAGACCCUCAGUGCAGAGAGUAAUCAUGCGAACAGCAGGGAAUACUGUGCACUGAAAUAGCUUCUCUCCACAAUGUUGGUCAUCUCCGCCCUUUUACAAUAAAAUGAUACCAUGAUACCCUUGCAUGUGGAUGAUUGGAGAGAAGUGAGUGAAGAGGGAAUAGGAGGCUACCACUGCUGUUAUCUUCUACAUUUCAAGAGUCUGAGAAUAACUAUAUUCAUCGAUAUGUUAAGUGCCUGUGCUGGGAGAAAACUCUUAUCAUGUGGUAUGUUCGUAUCUGCAUAAAGUCAAAAAUAAAAACAUAAUGUUUCACCACAGUGAGCUUAAUUUUACCCUUGUCUAUCUCUGACACCUAUUUCUUCUUUAAAGGACUACUAAUAUCCAUAAAUUGUAUUUAGUGGCACUCAGAAUGGAUUCUCUUUGCAUAAACAAUGGUUUGUAUUCAACAUUAAUCUGGAAUGGGGUGCCAUGUUUUCUAUUCUGAGACCUCAAAUACUGUGCUCUAUACUUUUUCUAGGAAUGAAUUCUGAGACUAUUUACUACCAUUCCCUUCAGAUACCUAACUGUGGGCAGGUAUUCUGUAUCUAUUUAUAUGCUAUCACGAUGCUCUAAUUUUACCACUAGUUGAAAUGAUUUUAGAAAUAGGUUAUUCAAACCAAAAUGCUCAGUGACAUCAACACUACUUCAUCUACGGUGCAGUGUUCUCAGGCCCUCCCAGACUUGUGCAUCAGAAACGCAAAGGAAAGGAUCCAGGAAUCCACAUUCUAAGAAGGCCUCCAGGUACGGGUACACAGUCAAGUUUGAGAACCACUGAUCUACUGGAGUCUCGCCUCACCAACAGGACUUGCAUAAGUAAAAACUGGCUACAGUUUCGAAGUUAAAUAGAAAUACUGCCUUUAUGAACAUACAUGAAUCUGAUACAUAAUCAUACAAAUCUUAAGUCCAACAAUUAAGACUUAGUCUAUUUUCUAUUAUGUAAUCUGGGCAUUUGCUUCUGGAGGGUUUCAAGGUCUUUAACAACUGAGAACCAAUGACAUUUUGAUAAUUCUCUAGAUGUUAGGAAUAAAUGCGUUGGCUUUAUAGCCAGAGUUUGCUGAGCGGUUUGGUCUGAGGCUUAGGGAUUUAAGCCAACGAAUGGAAAAAGAUGGUGAAGAAUCUCAUUCUAGUCAUGCCCUCCUUUCCUAAUUUCCCUUCUCACUGUUUGGUCUUCUCCCCCUUUUCCUUAGGGAGCCCAGUGAUUGAUAGCCUAAUCCAAUGACUAUAUUACAGCUGCCUCAACUAGGACUCUUUUCCUUAUCAUUAGCAGUUAGCCUAUGGUUAAAUUCACAGCUCACUGCUUGGUACAACCCCUGAGAUUUAAGGGUCUGGCCUUUAGAAAAUAUUUAACAUAAAACUGAAAUCUUGACAUACUGAGAACUCAGUUCUCUGCAAGGCUUCUUUAAUUAAUCCAAUGUACUGUACCAUUGUUCUGUAUGAGACUGUGACAUGGUGAACUGUUUCUGAAGCUUACAGAGAUGUGUAGCUCUAAAUUAAACAGUCACUGACGUGUACCUACACUGAUUUUUUAACAUUAAUUUAUUUUCCUAAUUUUGAACAAAGAAGAAUAUAUAGAAUAUCCAGAGACCCAUGAAUUUACUAGCUCUCAAACAGCAUUUGAUUUUAUCAUUUAGCUGCCGGACAAGUUAUUUUAAAAUAUCUAAGGGAAGAAUGUAGACCUUGAUCUCUGCUUUAAACCUUUGCCCUUGCUCCAGUCCGUUGAUGAGCUGUAAGCAUCUAUGAGUAUGGCAGCUGAGUCCCAGAUGAAAAAUUAUGCAUCUCAUAAACUGCUAUUCUGCUGAAAUGUCAAGCCAAGGCAAGGCUGUACCUCAAACUCAGCACUUGGCAUUUUCCUUCUGUCUGCUUUGUUGCCAUGAAGCAAACAUGAACACUGAGGAUCUGUGUAGGGCAGGUAGCAGGCGAGCUCACUGUCAAAAUUCUAUUAUUAGGGCUCUGAUCUCCUGCAUAGACCAACUACGGCCAAACAGUGAGAAACUCGGGCUCCUGGAAAAGCAAUAUAAGGCAAAAGGGGAUUCUUUGUCAAUCUGUACAUGAAUAUAUUCAAAUGAGCAUGAUUUAAAUGAGAAUAGUUCUAAUGGUGAGCUUCUCUCAACUAAACUGAUAAAUUAUAAUGAAAAUUAUAAUUCAGCAUCUUUAUUUGAUAUGCCCAAUUUUGACUAUUCUGCAAAUAUAGUACAUAUAUUUAUAUAACAAGUUCUUUAAUAAUUUGAUCAGCUAAACUUGUGAUAGUCUAAGAAUGUUUUUAACAUGUGAAUAAUAGGCUAGAUUUGUUGCAUUAUGUUGAUACACAGAAAAAAAGAAAAGAAGUAACUAAGCAUAAAGUGGAAGGUUCUCCUUUUAAAUAUUCUUUUUGGCAUGAUUUAUCACAGCUUUUUUAUUCAUUUAAAUAUUAUCUUUAUCAGGUUAUUUUAGACAUUUCAGUAUUAAAAUCUAAGCUCUUAUUGAUAAAGAUGAUUACAAUAGAUAACUGAAAUUUUAUGACAGAUAGUAGGCGUGUUUUUCUACAAGGAUUUUAUGCAUCAGUAAUCAUGAGAUUGACAGAUAAAAAAUUUCAGCCCAUUAAGAACUACUUCCUAUUUAAAAAAUACCAGUAUUGCCUCUUAUGAUACAAUUGUAACUGUAUAGUAGAAGUUAGAGCAAUUUUGUCAAAAUUUUCAGUUGCUUGCAUGUGUGAAAACAGUUAUUCAAACCAAAAUGUAACUGAAACUUCUGAGUUUCCAAUCUAGUAUGUUUAUCUUCUCCAUUUUACAUAAUAGCUGCUAAUAAUUAUAAUAAGUUGAAUUUUAUGAUUUGUGCUUAUUUCAUGCCCAGUAGCUGAGUGCAUACUGCUAAGUUACUGCAUAACACCAAUAACUCCUGAGAAACUACUUCAAAGACAAAUGUAAAAGAUGCAGCAUGGAGUCAAUGCUUAAGAUUCUUUUUUUUUUUUUUAAGUUACCACACUGAUUCCUGCAAGUUUUCUGAACUAUACAGUUUGUAGUCAUUUCUAGCCCGACAUCUGCACUGAGUUACAAAUUACUAGCAGAUUCCUAACU